GAUCAUGGCUCAGGAUGAACGCUAGCUACAGGCUUAACACAUGCAAGUCGAGGGGCAGCAUGGUCUUAGCUUGCUAGGGCCGAUGGCGACCGGCGCACGGGUGAGUAACACGUAUCCAACCUGCCGUCUACUCUUGGACAGCCUUCUGAAAAGGAAGAUUAAUACAAGAUGGCAUCAUGAGUCCGCAUGCUCACAUGAUUAAAGGUAUUCCGGUAGACGA
rnacentral:rRNA from 1 species